rnacentral:rRNA from 1 species
UACGUAGGGCGCAAGCGUUGUCCGGAAUUAUUGGGCGUAAAGAGCUCGUAGGCGGUUUGUCGCGUCUGCCGUGAAAGUCCGGGGCUCAACUCCGGAUCUGCGGUGGGUACGGGCAGACUAGAGUGCACUAGGGGAGACUGGAAUUCCUGGUGUAGCGGUGAAAUGCGCAGAUAUCAGGAGGAACACCGAUGGCGAAGGCAGGUCUCUGGGCUGUAACUGACGCUGAGGAGCGAAAGCAUGGGGAGCGAACAGG